rnacentral:rRNA from 1 species
UGGAGCAUGUGGUUUAAUUCGAAGCAACGCGAAGAACCUUACCAGGUCUUGACAUCCCUGACAACCCGAGAGAUCGGGCGUUCCCCUUCGGGGGACAGGGUGACAGGUGGUGCAUGGUUGUCGUCAGCUCGUGUCGUGAGAUGUUGGGUUAAGUCCCGCAACGAGCGCAACCCUCGACCUUAGUUGCCAGCAUUCAGUUGGGCACUCUAAGGUGACUGCCGGCUAAAAGUCGGAGGAAGGUGGGGAUGACGUCAAAUCAUCAUGCCCCUUAUGACCUGGGCUACACACGUGCUACAAUGGGCGGUACAAGGGGUCGCGAACCCGCGAGGGGGAGCCAAUCCCAAAAAGCCGCUCUCAGUUCGGAUUGCAGGCUGCAACUCGCCUGCAUGAAGCCGGAAUCGCUAGUAAUCGCAGGUCAGCAUACUGCGGUGAAUACGUUCCCGGGCCUU